CAGAGAAUAGUUUAAAAAAAAUAUUAAUUUUGGAGAUUAAUGAUAGAAGAAAUUUUUUCUCUGA
rnacentral:tRNA from 2 species